GGGAUGUUAAACGACUCGUUUUCUGUGAGUCGACGUGUAGGAGGCAUAAAUCGAAAAAUCGAUCGAUUUCUUCUCUUUUUUUCGGCCCGCGGCUGCAGCAGUUGCAGAGCUCAAAGGAUCUGCGCAUUCCUUUAAGACAGCGGCCCAGUUGGCCCACCCGUCCUAUUUCAAAGGUUGCUAUCAGGAGCACACCAAUAAUGCAUUUUUUUAAGUUAAGUUGAUAUAAAAAUGAUGAUAAACAAAAUAUCAAAGAGCAGGAUUGUGAACCUGUAAAUUCCCAAUAGGCAAAAUGUGUCGGUGUUGUUUUAAUUAGGAACGGCAGUUGAUGAUGCGCGCCUCCUCUUUGCAACGAAAUUGUUUAAGCCGGACAUAAAACCAUUUAAGCUGUCCAGGCAUCAGUGGUGAUAGCAACUUUGUCAGCUGAGGACAGGAUCUCGCGGAGGGAGGCUGCUGCUUCGCGGUACAUUUUCUCCAGCCUCACAGUCAUCGUUUGGCGACAUGGCACUGUGUAGGUUGGCUCGAGAAAUGAAAUCAGAUUGCGUAACCCAGUCCCCUCUACUACGCUCAUGGGCAGCAUAUCUCCGGCUAUCAUCUUAGCUAGCAACCCGCUGAUUCUUUCAGCCCGGCGGCUAUCACAGGAUCUCACCGUAAAGUUUGCGAUGCUGCCUUGCUGGCUGGAAGGCUUGGGAUGCCUCCUUGCCAGGUGAUUCAACAUCACGGUUGUGGACGAAUGGUACGCAAACUUCAUGAGGCAUAAUUUACACUGAACUGUUCCGUCAUCAAUCUUCAUGAAACUAUCCCACACCAGGCUUUUAAGUGAAGAUGCCAUUGUCAUGAAAGGACAAAGGAAGAGAUCGCUCUUGGGAGACGUAGCGGUGUAGCAGAACAGAAGUGACCGUUAGAAAAACAACACAGCUACGUCUCCCAUUUGAAAAAAAAGAGAAGGAUUUAUUGUAUUUUGAUAAUUUUUAAUUGUUUAUUUUGAAAGCAGAAAUGAUUUGUAUGUAAAAAAUAAAUAAAAUUCAUCGAUUUCUAUUUUUAGAGUCGUUUAGA